rnacentral:rRNA from 1 species
AUUGGACAAUGGGCGAAAGCCUGAUCCAGCCAUGCCGCGUGGUAGAUGAAGGCCCUCUGGGUUGUAAAUACCUUUUAUCUGGGAAGAAAUAUCUCAUUCUUGAGAAACUGACGGUACCAGAUGAAUAAGCACCGGCUAACUCCGUGCCAGCAGCCGCGGUAAUACGGAGGGUGCAAGCGUUAUCCGGAUUUACUGGGUUUAAAGGGUGCGUAGGCGGAAUUGUAAGUCAGUGGUGAAAGCCCCGAGCUUAACUUGGGAAUUGCCAUUGAUACUGCUUUUCUUGAAUACGAUUGAGGUAAGCGGAAUGUUGCAUGUAGCGGUGAAAUGCUUAGAUAUGUUACAGAACACCAAUUGCGAAGGCAGCUUACUAAGUCGUUAUUGACGCUGAGGCACGAAAGCGUGGGUAGCAAACAGGAUUAGAUACCCUGGUAGUCCACGCCCUAAACGAUGAUUACUCGACAUUGGCAAUAUACUGUUCAGUGUCCUAGCGAAAGCGUUAAGUAAUCCACCUGGGGAGUACGUUCGCAAGAAUGAAACUCAAAGGAAUUGACGG